AGCCUUCCAAGCUGAUGUCGUGAGUUCGAUUCUCAUCACCCGCU
rnacentral:tRNA from 1 species